GCACUUAUUAGUCCAAUGGUUUUAAAAAAUCAGAAAGCUUUAAACUUUGUCUUCUUACCUUUUCAUCCUUAGAUCUUGAGGUCUCUUCACUGAUUUCUGCUACCAUACUCAUAGUUUUUAUUUUCUGUAUAACUAAAUCCAUUGUGUAAAAGGAAGCAUUGUGCACUGCACAGCAAAAAGAGGGGCAUGCCUGUGAGAAGGGAAUUUAUUCAUAUGCAAUAUUUACAUUUAUCAGUUUUGCAGGUAGUAUGAUCUGAUGCUAUUUUCUAUGUAAGAAAAUGAGUUUUCUUUUUCAAUUCCCAAACCCCAAAAACUGAUCCAUCAACAUUUCUUUUAUCUUCCCAUUUUGGUGAAACUUAUUUGUAUCACUGAGCCUUAGAUUCUUGAGCUUUUUCAUAUAUUAGCAUCUUUUCUUCCAGCUCAUGAAGUGAUGAAACUGAGUGCUUUUAUUCCUAUUCAACCCUUUAAACUUCUCACUGAAGGUCCUUUUUUU
rnacentral:lncRNA from 1 species